rnacentral:lncRNA from 1 species
CCCCAUCAACCCACCUUCAUGGGCUUCACACACAAGCAAGUUUCUAGUAGAACACUUGGGCACACAUAAUUUAUUUUCUUUGAAAAGGUAGCCCUCAUAUCUAUAAAAACCAUCUUUAGAAAACUUUUCACAAUUUUUGAAGAUUUCACCAAAGGUGUCAUCUCCUUCAUACAUUUCUUUCAAGCAAUCAAAUCCAAUCAUUUUUGUUUCAAGC